rnacentral:rRNA from 1 species
GUGAGGAAUAUUGGACAAUGGGCGCAAGCCUGAUCCAGCCAUGCCGCGUGCAAGAAGACGCAUCUAUGGUGUGUAAACUGCUUUUGUACGGGAAGAAACACUCCCUCGUGAGGGAGCUUGAUGGUACCGUAAGAAUAAGGAUCGGCUAACUCCGUGCCAGCAGCCGCGGUAAUACGGAGGAUCCAAGCGUUAUCCGGAAUCAUUGGGUUUAAAGGGUCCGUAGGCGGUUUAAUAAGUCAGUGGUGAAAGCCCAUCGCUCAACGAUGGAACGGCCAUUGAUACUGUUAGACUUGAAUUACAAGGAAGUAACUAGAAUAUGUAGUGUAGCGGUGAAAUGCUUAGAUAUUACAUGGAAUACCAAUUGCGAAGGCAGGUUACUACUUGUGGAUUGACGCUGAUGGACGAAAGCGUGGGGAGCGAACAGGAUUAGAAACCCCGGUAGUCC